UAGAGUUUGAUUAUGGCUCAGAUUGAACGCUGGCGGUAUGCUUAACACAUGCAAAGUCGAACGGAAACGAUACUAGCUUGCUAGUAGGCGUCGAGUGGCGGACGGGUGAGUAACGCGUAGGAAACUGCCUGAUAGUGGGGGAUAGCCCGAAGAAAUUCGGAUUAAUACCGCAUAAUCUAUUCGUAGUAAAGUGGGGGACUUUCGAGCCUCACGCUAUCAGAUGAGCCUGCGUAAGAUUAGCUUGUUGGUAGGGUAAAAGCCUACCAAGGCGACGAUCUUUAGCUGGUCUGAGAGGAUGAUCAGCCACAUCGGGACUGAGACACGGCCCGAACUCCUACGGGAGGCAGCAGUGGGGAAUAUUGGACGAUGGGGGCAACCCUGAUCCAGCGAUACCGCGUGUGUGAAGAAGGCCUGAGGGUUGUAAAGCACUUUCAAUUGUGAAGAAAAGUUAGCGGUUAAUAACCGUUAGCCUUGACGUUAACUUUAGAAGAAGCACCGGCUAACUCCGUGCCAGCCGCCGCGGUAAUUCA
rnacentral:rRNA from 1 species